AAGAGCUUGCUCAGAUAUGACGAUGGACAUUGCAAAGAGUGGCGAACGGGUGAGUAACACGUGGGAAACCUACCUCUUAGCAGGGGAUAACAUUUGGAAACAGAUGCUAAUACCGUAUAACAAUGACAACCGCAUGGUUGUUAUUUAAAAGAUGGUUCUGCUAUCACUAAGAGAUGGUCCCGCGGUGCAUUAGCUAGUUGGUAAGGUAAUGGCUUACCAAGGCGAUGAUGCAUAGCCGAGUUGAGAGACUGAUCGGCCACAAUGGGACUGAGACACGGCCCAUACUCCUACGGGAGGCAGCAGUAGGGAAUCUUCCACAAUGGGCGAAAGCCUGAUGGAGCAACGCCGCGUGUGUGAUGAAGGGUUUCGGCUCGUAAAACACUGUUGUAAGAGAAGAAUGACAUUGAGAGUAACUGUUCAAUGUGUGACGGUAUCUUACCAGAAAGGAACGGCUAAAUACGUGCCAGCAGCCGCGGUAAUACGUAUGUUCCAAGCGUUAUCCGGAUUUAUUGGGCGUAAAGCGAGCGCAGACGGUUAUUUAAGUCUGAAGUGAAAGCCCUCAGCUCAACUGAGGAAUUGCUUUGGAAACUGGAUGACUUGAGUGCAGUAGAGGAAAGUGGAACUCCAUGUGUAGCGGUGAAAUGCGUAGAUAUAUGGAAGAACACCAGUGGCGAAGGCGGCUUUCUGGACUGUAACUGACGUUGAGGCUCGAAAGUGUGGGUAGCAAACAGGAUUAGAUACCCUGGUAGUCCACACCGUAAACGAUGAGUGCUAGGUGUUUGAGGGUUUCCGCCCUUAAGUGCCGCAGCUAACGCAUUAAGCACUCCGCCUGGGGAGUACGACCGCAAGGUUGAAACUCAAAGGAAUUGACGGGGACCCGCACAAGCGGUGGAGCAUGUGGUUUAAUUCGAAGCAACGCGAAGAACCUUACCAGGUCUUGACAUCCCUUGACAACUCCAGAGAUGGAGCGUUCCCUUCGGGGACAAGGUGACAGGUGGUGCAUGGUUGUCGUCAGCUCGUGUCGUGAGAUGUUGGGUUAAGUCCCGCAACGAGCGCAACCCUUAUUACUAGUUGCCAGCAUUCAGUUGGGCACUCUAGUGAGACUGCCGGUGACAAACCGGAGGAAGGUGGGGAUGACGUCAAAUCAUCAUGCCCCUUAUGACCUGGGCUACACACGUGCUACAAUGGCGUAUACAACGAGUUGCCAACCCGCGAGGGUGAGCUAAUCUCUUAAAGUACGUCUCAGUUCGGAUUGUAGGCUGCAACUCGCCUACAUGAAGUCGGAAUCGCUAGUAAUCGCGGAUCAGCACGCCGCGGUGAAUACGUUCCCGGGUCUUGUACACACCGCCCGUCACACCAUGAGAGUUUGUAACACCCAAAGCCGGUGGGGUAACCUUCGGGAGCCAGCCG
rnacentral:rRNA from 1 species